rnacentral:tRNA from 1 species
GGGCUAGUAGCUCAGGCGGUUAGAGCGCACGCCUGAUAAGCGUGAGGUCGGAGGUUCGAGUCCUCCCUGGCCCACCA